CCUACGGGUGGCAGCAGUGAGGAAUAUUGGUCAAUGGGCGCGAGCCUGAACCAGCCAAGUCGCGUGAAGGAUGACUGCCCUACGGGUUGUAAACUUCUUUUAUAAAGGAAUAAAGUGAGGCACGUGUGCCUUUUUGUAUGUACUUUAUGAAUAAGGAUCGGCUAACUCCGUGCCAGCAGCCGCGGUAAUAGGGAGGAUCCAAGCGUUAUCCGGAUUUCUUGGGUUUAAAGGGAGCGUAGAUGGUUUGUUAAGUCAGUGGUGAAAGUUUGGGGCUCAACCGUAAAAUUGCAAUUGAUACUGGCAGUCUUGAGUACAGUUGAGGUAGGCGGAAUGCAUGGUGUAGCGGUGAAAUGCUUAGAGAUCACGAAGAACUCCGAUUGCGAAGGCAGCUUACUAAACUGCCACUGACAUUGAGGCUCGAAAGUGUGGGUAUCAAACAGGAUUAGAUACCCGGGUAGUC
rnacentral:rRNA from 1 species